CCCUACCGGAGGCAGCAGUGGGGAAUUUGGACAAUGGGGGCAAGCCUGAUCCAGAACAACCGCGCAAGCAAGAAGCCGCCAGGCCGGUAAAGUUCUGUAUCCGUGAAUGUCACCCCUCCUCUCUCGACGCGAUGACGUACUGCAGAUAGCAUCGCUAGCUACG
rnacentral:rRNA from 1 species